rnacentral:rRNA from 1 species
GACGAACGCUGGCGGCGUGCUUAACACAUGCAAGUCGAACGGAAAGGCCCUGCUUUUGUGGGGUGCUCGAGUGGCGAACGGGUGAGUAACACGUGAGUAACCUGCCCUUGACUUUGGGAUAACUUCAGGAAACUGGGGCUAAUACCGGAUAGGAGCUCCUGCUGCAUGGUGGGGGUUGGAAAGUUUCGGCGGUUGGGGAUGGACUCGCGGCUUAUCAGCUUGUUGGUGGGGUAGUGGCUUACCAAGGCUUUGACGGGUAGCCGGCCUGAGAGGGUGACCGGCCACAUUGGGACUGAGAUACGGCCCAGACUCCUACGGGAGGCAGCAGUGGGGAAUAUUGCACAAUGGGCGGAAGCCUGAUGCAGCAACGCCGCGUGCGGGAUGACGGCCUUCGGGUUGUAAACCGCUUUCGCCUGUGACGAAGCGUGAGUGACGGUAAUGGGUAAAGAAGCACCGGCUAACUACGUGCCAGCAGCCGCGGUGAUACGUAGGGUGCGAGCGUUGUCCGGAUUUAUUGGGCGUAAAGGGCUCGUAGGUGGUUGAUCGCGUCGGAAGUGUAAUCUUGGGGCUUAACCCUGAGCGUGCUUUCGAUACGGGUUGACUUGAGGAAGGUAGGGGAGAAUGGAAUUCCUGGUGGAGCGGUGGAAUGCGCGGAUAUCAGGAGGAACACCAGUGGCGAAGGCGGUUCUCUGGGCCUUUCCUGACGCUGAGGAGCGAAAGCGUGGGGAGCGAACAGGCUUAGAUACCCUGGUAGUCCACGCUGUAAACGGUGGGUACUAGGUGUGGGGUCCAUUCCACGGGUUCCGUGCCGUAGCUAACGCUUUAAGUACCCCGCCUGGGGAGUACGGCCGCAAGGCUAAAACUCAAAGGAAUUGACGGGGCCCCGCACAAGCGGCGGAGCAUGCGGAUUAAUUCGAUGCAACGCGUAGAACCUUACCUGGGUUUGACAUGGAUCGGGAGCGCUCAGAGAUGGGUGUGCCUCUUUUGGGGUCGGUUCACAGGUGGUGCAUGGCUGUCGUCAGCUCGUGUCGUGAGAUGUUGGGUUAAGUCCCGCAACGAGCGCAACCCUUGUUCACUGUUGCCAGCACGUUAUGGUGGGGACUCAGUGGAGACCGCCGGGGUCAACUCGGAGGAAGGUGGGGAUGACGUCAAGUCAUCAUGCCCCUUAUGUCCAGGGCUUCACGCAUGCUACAAUGGCUGGUACAGAGAGUGGCGAGCCUGUGAGGGUGAGCGAAUCUCGGAAAGCCGGUCUCAGUUCGGAUUGGGGUCUGCAACUCGACCUCAUGAAGUCGGAGUCGCUAGUAAUCGCAGAUCAGCAACGCUGCGGUGAAUACGUUCCCGGG